UUUCGGUUCCAGAAUUCAUCCUAAACAUAUUCUAAUGUCAAGGGACAGUUUCUACAUCAAUCUAAUCAAUUUUUACCGUUUGAUCAUCAAUUUUAGGGAUUUGACCUAAUUUCAAAACUUUCUAAUUCAAUCCUAACUUUGUCAAUUAAUCAUCAGAAUCAUAGAAAUUAACAUUACUGAAUUAUUAGUCUCACCCUUACCUUAAUUGAUGAAAAUCGCAGCUCUCCUAGGUGUUCUUGCUCUUC
rnacentral:lncRNA from 1 species